AAUGCAAUUUCUGGGUCAUAUGGCAAGUGUAUGUUUAGUUUUGUAAGAAACUGCCAAACUGUUUUCCAGAGUGGCUGUACCAUUUUACAAUCCCAACAGCAAU
rnacentral:pre_miRNA from 1 species